CUUCACAUCCUGCAGUAUCGCCUCAUUUGGAUGUGUCUGGAGUCUUGGAAACUUGACUACCCUACAUUCUCCUACAAAUGGAUCUAGAGAGCUUGUUU